AUCCUUUUUUGGUUCAUAAGCGUGAUGAUUGGGGGUUCACGCCUUUGCGUGACUUGUGCCGCCCAUUUAAACCUUGUUACGACGUGGGCACAUUACCCGUCUGACG